rnacentral:rRNA from 2 species
CGGACGGGUGAGUAAUGCUUGGGAAUCUAGCUUAUGGAGGGGGAUAACUACGGGAAACUGUAGCUAAUACCGCGUAAUAUCGAAAGAUUAAAGUGUGGGACCUUCGGGCCACAUGCCAUAGGAUGAGCCCAAGUGGGAUUAGGUAGUUGGUGAGGUAAAGGCUCACCAAGCCGACGAUCUCUAGCUGGUCUGAGAGGAUGACCAGCCACACUGGGACUGAGACACGGCCCAG